CUUGGGAGAGCACAGUUGGCAAGGUCAUGGUGCUGAUAAUGCCAAGGUUGUGGGUUCAAUUCCUGACUUUCAGGG